rnacentral:pre_miRNA from 1 species
GGAAGUUAAAAAACUGUUUCUUAACUUUUAACUAAAAAGGUUAAGAACCGGUUUUUAAAGUUCUUAUUUAAGAAUCGGUUCUUAACUUUUUUGGUUAAAAAUUAAGAAACAGUUUCUUAACUUCC